rnacentral:rRNA from 1 species
UGGGGAAUAUUGGACAAUGGGCGCAAGCCUGAUCCAGCCAUGCCGCGUGAGUGAUGAAGGCCCUAGGGUUGUAAAGCUCUUUCACCGGUGAAGAUAAUGACGGUAACCGGAGAAGAAGCCCCGGCUAACUUCGUGCCAGCAGCCGCGGUAAUACGAAGGGGGCUAGCGUUGUUCGGAAUUACUGGGCGUAAAGCGCACGUAGGCGGACAUUUAAGUCAGGGGUGAAAUCCCGGGGCUCAACCCCGGAACUGCCUUUGAUACUGGGUGUCUAGAGUUCGAGAGAGGUGAGUGGAAUUCCGAGUGUAGAGGUGAAAUUCGUAGAUAUUCGGAGGAACACCAGUGGCGAAGGCGGCUCACUGGCUCGAUACUGACGCUGAGGUGCGAAAGCGUGGGGAGCAAACA